GGCAUGUAAUCUGUAAUCUGUAAUCUGUAGUGGAAUACAACUGUGUACAUGUUACAGCCAAUAAACCAGAAGGAUGCACACGCACAUGCAAACGGGGUGAUCUGAGUCCCUGAUAUUGGCUUCAGCCUAUUAGUAUUAUUAAUAUUCUACUUUUCAUUUUUAAAUCGGUAUCUAAGGAAUUCAAAUUUCACCCACACAUUUCAUAGUAAAACACAGUGAAAAUAAAUGAGUUACAACAUCUGUUGGACUCCAGUGACAGGCAGGUACUGACAGAAGCAACAACUCAGGUGUGAGAGGAAUUCGAUGAGGUAUUUCAGUUGGCCUCUUUUUCUCAAGUACUGGAUUUCUAACAUAGCACACUGUGGAAACAGACCUGAAGCAUGUUAGAACAAUGUCCAAUCUCUUUUUUUUUGUUUUUUUUUUUGGCCUGUCCCGUUUGGCUCUUUUGCCAUCAGAAUUGUUGUCUAAAGGCAAAGAAAGAUGCCCAACGGAUUUACUUUACCAAACUGACCAUCCCAGCCUUGCCAUAAUGGUCCAUUUGAUUCACCUUUUAUUGUUUAUUUUAUUUUCACUUACUGAAUACGGGACAGACUUGACUGGGGGAAAGAAGGGGAGAAAGAAAGAGGGAAAGAGAAACAGCUGAGAAGAGGGACGGGGGAGAAGGGCAAAAGACAAAAACCAACAGAAUGAGCAGAAAAAAAAAUGCAUCUAUCAAUCACCUGGAUCACCUGCUGAGAAAGAAAAAAGAAAACAAGCAGAAGAGAACAAGAGUAAUAGAAUAAACAACAUCACAAUGAUAUAUGGGAAUAUGACAGUAAAUACUAAAUAUUAAACAUUAUUGUGCAGCACAUAAGAUCAACAGAACACAGUGUGCUUUGAGGUAGGAGCCAAAAAGGGUGUAGUUUGUGGGUGUGAUCACCCGUGUGUACACCUGUGAGCAUGGACGCGCUUGUUUUUAAAAGGUUCCUUCAUGUAAUGAUCUGCUAGAGGGUGUGGGGGGGCACAGCCCCGUCCUCCAGGGCAUGAAGCAGGUAUGGAUGAGAUCAAAACUCCAGACAUCCAGAGGCCCCCAGAACACAAGAG
ensembl:lncRNA